rnacentral:rRNA from 1 species
UACGUAGGGGGCGAGCGUUGUCCGGAAUUAUUGGGCGUAAAGGGUUCGCAGGCGGCCUUUUAAGUCAGAUGUUAAAUCUCACGGCUUAACCGUGAUAAGCAUUUGAAACUGGAGGGCUUGAGUUAAGGAGAGGAAAGUGGAAUUCCUAGUGUAGCGGUGAAAUGCGUAGAUAUUAGGAGGAAUACCAGUGGCGAAGGCGACUUUCUGGACUUAUACUGACGCUGAGGAACGAAAGCGUGGGGAGCAAACAGG